CUUGAUUGCUAAUUGAUGUAAGAGCAUCCAUCUGCCGGUGGUGAAGCCACCUCUGGGCAGGAUCCUGUUUCUGCCCAUUCUUGAGUAGCUGCCUUGACUUCCCUCAGUGGUGGACUAUGAUUGGGAAAUGUAAGCCAAAUAAACCCUUUCCUCCCCAAAUGGUUUUGGUUGUGAUGCUUAGUAUAGCAUCAGAAAUAAAGAAGGGACACCUGCUAAUUUA